rnacentral:rRNA from 1 species
GACGAACGCUGGCGGCGUGCUUAACACAUGCAAGUCGAACGGAAAGGCCCUGCUUUUGUGGGGUGCUCGAGUGGCGAACGGGUGAGUAACACGUGAGUAACCUGCCCUUUACUUUGGGAUAACUUCAGGAAACUGGGGCUAAUACCGGAUAGGAGCUCCUGCUGCAUGGUGGGGGUUGGAAAGUUUCGGCGGUUGGGGAUGGACUCGCGGCUUAUCAGCUUGUUGGUGGGGUAGUGGCUUACCAAGGCUUUGACGGGUAGCCGGCCUGAGAGGGUGACCGGCCACAUUGGGACUGAGAUACGGCCCAGACUCCUACGGGAGGCAGCAGUGGGGAAUAUUGCACAAUGGGCGGAAGCCUGAUGCAGCAACGCCGCGUGCGGGAUGACGGCCUUCGGGUUGUAAACCGCUUUCGCCUGUGACGAAGCGUGAGUGACGGUAAUGGGUAAAGAAGCACCGGCUAACUACGUG